AGCUUUAUUCCAGAUAAGAAGGCACUGUUGAUCAGUGUCCAAAACUGGUCAACAAGGUUAAAGGAGACACAGGUUUUGCUUCCAUCACACUAAACGCAUUCCAGUAGUGACAAUGAGACCUACAACAUUU